GACGAAUAGGAGUUUUGCCGGAGAGUUAGCAGCCCCUCCCGCGACGCUUCCGUGAGCGUAGGGGGGGCUAGACGCCGGCCCAGGGCCUCUCCUUCCCCACCUUCUCUCGUCGCCGCCCCAACAGCGAGCCGACGGGCAAAGCCCGCCCAACUUCAGCGAUGGCGGGGUGUUCUCCUUCCCCUCUUGGCGCAUGGUGGUGCGGGCCGAUGGAGUCGGGCAGCGGUGUGGCCCAUGCAUGGGGCAUGACGGCGUGGUGGUUGCAUCUCGUGGCGGAGGCGCACGGUACCGACGGCGGCGUGAAGGGGUUGUGGGCAUUAGGGCAGUGAGCGGGUGUUCGUCAAGGUCAAGAUCAUAUCUGGUGUGAGGAUUCAACGGCUCUGCUUCUGGUUGUGGAUGGGCUUGUGUCUGUCGCGCGUGGAAACGGGGCCUGUCCCUUUUCUGCUCGGCUCCCAAGAUGUUGGAGCCCCUGUCGUCCUCCCGCCAGGACCGACUAGGCCUAGUCUCGACCUGACACCGACAGGGGGCGCAUGCAGUGAAGUUUUUCACUUUUCUCAUCCAUUUGACGUAAAAAAUCACAGAACAAACUCGAUCUUAAAGUAUUUAACGAUCUAACCUUUUUUAGAAACGUCAUAGCUUGUGACGUUGCUGCUGGAUGUAGAAACGCCAAUAUACUCUGACGUUUCUGCUCCAAAUUCAGACAUCAGUCUAUGCGGACGUUGCACGCCACACAAGAAACACCAUGGCCCUUGGCUUUUUCGUGCAGCCUGGAAACGCCAAGCGUGGUGUACUGGGGCUAAGCUAGAGAGAGAGGGAGAGAGACAGAAGGUGCAGUUGCAAUAAUUCGCGCGGCGGUGACCACACGGUACGGGAUCGUUGGGUAGAUCAUGCAUGCAUGCAUACAUGCCUGCUGCGCGGCUAGCAAAAGGACGUAGCCUGCCGCCACUGGCCGGGGAUCCUGUUCACGUCGCAAACUUUGGUGCACUCGUCAUGAUAAUUUUGGGAUCAGGGAAGUAUUACUGCUGGCUUGUGUGCAUGUUGGGUCCAUCCAUAAGAGGGUGUUUGGAUCACUAGAGACUAGAGACUAGAGACUAGUACUAGUCACCUUUAGUCAGUAAACCUCCAAACACCCCUGACUAAUGGGUGACUAAAACUAGUUUAGUCCCUAGUCACCCCACCCCCAACUAAAAGUGACUAAAGUCUCUUCUCCAAUUAAUGGCUCAUCCUCCCAUGCUGGCACGCCAAUGGAAGGGAGAUAAAUGAGAAUAAUUUAAUACAGAGACAUUUAAUGCUGACUAGUAGUAGUCACCUUCCAAACAGGGCCUGACUAAAAACUUUUAGUCUGACUACUACUAGUCACAUGACUAGAGAGUAUCCAAACACCCUCUAAAUCUCGAGCGCUGCAGGUCCGAGACUCGCACUCUCGGUCGCAUUCAUUCAUGCAUUUAUGUUGCCCCGACCGUGAUUUGCCAACACGGCUACUGCGCAAUUCCUCGGCUCAAACGCCAGUAAGGUUGGUGUUUCAUCUCUGCAGAGCAAUGCCAGCUACAGUGGCAUUUCGUCUUUGCACAGCAACACGAGCUAGUUUAGCGUUUUGACCUAGGCAGCAACGCAAAGCUAGUCUGGCGUUUCUUAAUUGAGCUGCAACGUCGCGGAUUCUGACGUUUCAUAAAAGGUCAGAUCUGGAAAUACUUUCAGAAUGAGUUUAUUUUGUGCUCAUAUUUACCUAUAAGGUCAGAAACAGUGAAAAAACCAUUCAGUGUUCAGCAGGGUUGGUGACCGCUACUGCGUGCCUACGGUGGUGAUUCCCAGCAAUGAUGGGUGAUGUGUCGUGCUUGUGGUCUUCCAGCGGUGCGGGUGUGAUUGUGGUUCUCCGGCAAUGAUGGGUGAUGUGUCAUGCUUGUGGUCUUCCAGCGGUGCGGGUGUGAUUGUGGUUCUCCGGCACGCAACGCAUGGUGAUGGUUGCACUUCUCCCUCUCGUGGAUCGAACUCGGCGACACGCCCAGACCGAUUUCUUUCCAUGAUUGUAUUUUAUUGUUGGGAAAAUCUAAAUACAAUGCACAGUUGAUUUUCCGUGCGACGGCUGAUGCGCGUAAGUCGGGAGAGCUUGCUUAGCAAUGUUGCAUUUUAAAAAAGAUUUAUCUUUCAAACCGUUAUCUUAAUCAAUGAUCCGUUUUCAUCAUUGAUUUUAU
rnacentral:lncRNA from 1 species